rnacentral:rRNA from 1 species
UAAAAGAUUUAUCGCACAAAGAUGGGCUCGCGUCCCAUUAGCUGGUUGGCGGGGUAACGGCCCACCAAGGCGACGAUGGGUAGCCGACCUGAGAGGGUGAUCGGCCACACUGGAACUGAGACACGGUCCAGACUCCUACGGGAGGCAGCAGUGGGGAAUAUUGGGCAAUGGGCGCAAGCCUGACCCAGCAACGCCGCGUGAGGGAAGAAGGUCUUCGGAUUGUAAACCUCUGUCCUUGGGGACGAAAGAAAUGACGGUACCCAAGGAGGAAGCUCCGGCUAACUACGUGCCAGCAGCCGCGGUAAUACGUAGGGAGCGAGCGUUGUCCGGAAUUACUGGGCGUAAAGGGUGCGUAGGUGGCGCUGCAAGUCAGAUGUGAAAUCCCCGGGCUUAACUCGGGGGGUGCAUUUGAAACUGCGGUGCUUGAGUGCAGGAGAGGAAAGCGGAAUUCCUAGUGUAGCGGUGAAAUGCGUAGAUAUUAGGAAGAACACCAGUGGCGAAGGCGGCUUUCUGGACUGUAACUGACGCUGAUGCACGAAAGCGUGGGGAGCAAACAGGAUUAGAUACCCUGGUAGUCCACGCUGUAAACGAUGGAUACUAGGUGUGGGGGACAUACAACCUCUGUGCCGAAGCAAACGCA